rnacentral:lncRNA from 1 species
AGCGAGCAGGAGGGGCCCCAUUCAGACCACUUAGCUGCAGAGGAAGAACCCUGCAUGUCAGCCUCCUUGAACCAGGAGCAGCAUCAGAAGAAGACAGAGGCCCUGCUGGCAACGAGCUGGCCAAAGAACUCAGGGAUGCCUGGAAUCUCAGACACUGCCAGUCGAAAGAGACGAGACCCAAAGAAGCGGGCAGCUGCGAUGCAACGCUUGCGGCAAUGGGAGGCCCAGAUGCUUCAGGAAAUUGAGGAGGCAGUUCAUCAUGAACUUACCAUUCAAGAGGAGGGGAUCCUUAGCACUGAGCUCCCUGACCAAGCCCAGGGGCCACUUAGCAUCAGUACAGUCAGAAUAGAUUCCCAGGACCCUGCUGCCAUGGCAUGACUUAAUUGUCUACACCACACACUCCAGGUGGUCCAGGAGCGGGCCUGCAGCUGGGAUUCUGCACAGGAACUUCAGAUUCCACACAAUGUUCUGAGUGGUCAUUUACUUUAUAUUUAAACAUCUGCAUGUUUUACAAGCUACUUCCUAUUAAAAUAAUUCUCUAUUUUCAUUUGUGCAAUUAUCUGGUUAUAAAAUCAGCCUUGUGAACGUGUCAGAACUUUACUAAUUUUUCAAAGACAGAAUACUAUUUUUAAAACCUGAUUAGAACUGUGUAACAUGAAGAUGAACGCAUCAGAGAAAAGCUCGUCCAAUCUUCAUUAUUAAAAAUAAACUCUUUUCAUGAGAACU